AUGCAAAUACUUGAAUCCAGCAGGCCAAUAAUGAAAUGUGAACACUUUCUAAGUCUAAUUCUACACUUCCAGGUUGACAUCAGUACACAGAAACAGGCUCUAGGAAAAUUUCUAAGUUCAUUGCCUAUGUGUGUGUGUUGAAAUAGAACUCUGUGUGUGUGUGUGUGUGUGCGCGCGCACACGUGCGCGCACGAUGUGUGCUUCUGCACAGCGCACAUUCUGUGUUGGUGUGUUUGAAAGCGUGUGAGGGAUUUAACUGUGGGUUUCCCUUUUAUUCAGUAUAUGCUUCUUUUUGGCGCAUUGGUCAAAUGUUUGUUAUUAUUAUUAGCUUCUAACUUUGCACUGAGUGUCCCUGCCCUCCCUUCAGCUAAUCCUAUAGUUAAAGAGAAUUCAUAGGACAGGGCUGGUGACAAUUCAUGUGUAAAUGUUUACUCAAGGACUCUGUUAUUGCGUUUAAAAAUUACAGUGUAUAUCUCUGGAGAAAUAAUAUGUAUACCUACCUUUAGCAGCUUUUUAUUGUGGACUAAUGCAAGAAAAUUAUUACCAGAGUAUUGCACCAGUUUUCAAUUUGGAAUAUAAAGUUAAAGAGAAAAAAAACUGUUGUUGAACUGUGGCCAUAGAUACUUGUAAAGAAUGGAUGGUUCCUCGGAAGGAACAGAAACAAGCACUUGGACAUGGGUUGUGACUGCUUUUGGAGGAGUCCAUGGUUUGGGCUCCCACCUGUUUACAGACCUUUUUUCUUCUUCAGACUUUAAAUUAAAAAAAAAAAAAAAAUUAAAAAGGAAUUAAAAAAAAAAAA